GUCCUUUAGUUAAAAAUAAUUUAAGGUCUAACCUGCCCAUUGAUUAAAUUAAAAGGCCGCAGUAAUUUGACUGUGCAAAGGUAGCAUAAUCAUUAGUUUUUUAAUUAAAAGCUUGUAUGAAUGGUUGGACGAGAUAAAAUCUGUCUCUUUAUAAAAAUUAGAAUUUAAUUUUUAAGUUAAAAAGCUUAAAUUUAAAUAAAAGACGAGAAGACCCUAUAGAUCUUUAUAUAAUUUUUUUUAGUAUUAAUAAAGAAAAUUUUAUUUAUUAAUUAAUUUUAUAUUUUAUUGGGGUAAUAAAAAGAUUAAAUAAAUUCUUUAAAAUUUUACAAAAAUUAUUGGUUAUAUGAUCCAUUAUUAAUGAUUAUAAGAUUAAGUUACCUUAGGGAUAACAGCGUAAUUUUUUUAGAGAGUUCUUAUCAAUAAAAAAGUUUGCGACCUCGAUGUUGGAUUAAAAGUAAUUUUGGGUGUAGAAGUUCAAAAUUUUGGUCUGUUCGACCAUUAAAUUUUU
rnacentral:rRNA from 1 species